rnacentral:rRNA from 1 species
GCCCGCUCAGAACUAAGGAAUUGACGGGGCCCGCACAAGCGGAGGAGCAUGUGGUUAAUUCGAUGAUACGCGAGGAACCUUACCUGGGCUCGAACGUAAGAUGACUGUAGGUGAAAGCUUACAUCUCUUCGGAGCAUUUUACGAGGUGCUGCAUGGUUGUCGUCAGCUCGUGCCGUGAGGUGUCGGGUUAAGUCCCAUAACGAGCGCAACCCCUACCUUUAGUUGCCAUCAGGUUAAGCUGGGGACUCUAAAGGAACUGCCUACGCAAGUAGUGAGGAAGGCGGGGAUGACGUCAAAUCAGCACGGCCCUUACGUCCAGGGCUACACACGUGCUACAAUGGCCGAUACAGAGGGCAGCUACCUGGUGACAGGAUGCAAAUCUCCAAAGUCGGUCUCAGUUCGGAUCGGAGUCUGCAACCCGACUCCGUGAAGUUGGAUUCGCUAGUAAUCGCGCAUCAGCCAUGGCGCGGUGAAUACGUUCCCGGGCCUU